CGGUUAAGAAAUAAGGUCUCACCUAAGGGCCAUAUAUAAAACCCUCACUAUUGAAUUCUUGCAUACAUUUGUACAUAGAAUAUAUAGUGAGUGCCUUAUCUAAGGCCCUUAGAUGAGACCCCAUCUUAACC
rnacentral:pre_miRNA from 1 species